GGCGACAUGGCCGAGUGGUAAGGCGGGGGACUGCAAAUCCUUGUUCCCCAGUUCAAAUCU
rnacentral:tRNA from 1 species